UACGUAGGGGGCGAGCGUUGUCCGAAGUUACUGGGCGUAAAGCGCGCGUAGGCGGUCCUUUAAGUCUGGUGUGAAAGGUUCAGGGCUCAACCCGAACAGUGCACUGGAUACUGGGGGACUUGAGUGCGGGAGAGGAGAGUGGAAUUCCUGGUGUAGCGGUGAAAUGCGCAGAUAUCGGGAGGAACACCAAUGGCGAAGGCAGCUCGCUGGGACGUUACUGACGCUGAGACGCGAAAGCGUGGGGAGCAAACAGGG
rnacentral:rRNA from 1 species